GAUGAACGCUGGCGGCGUGCCUAAUACAUGCAAGUCGAACGCUGGAGAUCUAGCUUGCUAGCUCGAAGGAGUGGCGAACGGGUGAGUAAUACAUAAGCAACCUACCCACGAAGACUGGGAUAAUCUCUGGAAACGGGGACUAAUACCGGAUAGGUAAUCGGAAGGCAUCUUCUGGUUAUUAAAGGUUAAAAACACUGGUGGAUGGGCUUAUAGCGCAUUAGUUAGUUGGUGAGGUAACGGCCCACCAAGACGAUGAUGCGUAGCCGGCCUGAGAGGGUGAACGGCCACAUUGGGACUGAGACACGGCCCAGACUCCUACGGGAGGCAGCAGUAGGGAAUUUUCGGCAAUGGGGGCAACCCUGACCGAGCAACGCCGCGUGAGUGAAGACGGCCUUCGGGUUGUAAAGCUCUGUUGUAAGGGAAGAACGGUAGAUAGAGAAUAUCUAAGUGACGGUACCUUACCAGAAAGCCACGGCUAACUACGUG
rnacentral:rRNA from 1 species